AAGUCAGUGGUGAAAGCCCGAAGCUCAACUUCGGGAUUGCCAUUGAAACUGUUUCACUUGAGUUUAGUCGAGGACGGCGGAAUGAGUUGUGUAGCGGUGAAAUGCAUAGAUAUAACUCAGAACACCAAUUGCGAAGGCAGCUGUCUAGACUAAAACUGACGCUGAGGCACGAAAGCGUGGGGAGCGAACAGGAUUAGAUACCCUGGUAGUCCACGCAGUAAACGAUGAUCACUCGUUGUUGGCUACUUGGUAGUCAGUGACUAAGGGAAACCGUUAAGUGAUCCACCUGGGGAGUACGUCGGCAACGAUGAAACUCAAAGGAAUUGACGGGGGCCCGCACAAGCGGAGGAACACGUGGUUUAAUUCGAUGAUACGCGAGGAACCUUACCUGGGCUUAAAUGCAGGCUGCAUUCCCGCGAAAGCGGGAUUUCCUACGGGACCGCCUGCAAGGUGCUGCAUGGUUGUCGUCAGCUCGUGCCGUGAGGUGUCGGGUUAAGUCCCAUAACGAGCGCAACCCCUAUCGUUAGUUGCCAGCAUGUGAUGGUGGGGACUCUAGCGAGACUGCCGGUGUAAACCGGAGGAAGGUGGGGAUGACGUCAAAUCAGCACGGCCCUUACGUCCAGGGCUACACACGUGUUACAAUGGCCGGUACAAAGAGCAGCCACCUGGCGACAGGGUGCUAAUCUUCAAAGCCGGUCUCAGUUCGGAUCGAAGUCU
rnacentral:rRNA from 1 species